rnacentral:rRNA from 1 species
AUUGAACGCUGGCGGCAGGCCUAACACAUGCAAGUCGAACGAGUGGCGGACGGGUGAGUAAUGUCUGGGCAACUGCCCGAUGGAGGGGGAUAACUACUGGAAACGGUAGCUAAUACCGCAUACCAUCGGAUGUGCCCAGAUGGGAUUAGCUAGUAGGUGGGGUAACGGCUCACCUAGGCGACGAUCCCUAGCUGGUCUGAGGGGAUGACCUGCCACACUGGAACGGAGACACGGUCCAGACUCCUACGGGAGGCAGCAGGGGGGAAUAUUGCACAAUGGGCGCAAGCCUGUAGCAGCCAGGCCGUGUGUAUGAAGAAGGCCUUCGGGUUGUAAGGUACUUUCAGCGAGGAGGCGUUACUCGCAGAAGAAGCACCGGCUAACUCCGUGCCAGCAGCCGCGGUAUAC